rnacentral:rRNA from 1 species
GACGAACGCUGGCGGCGUGCUUAACACAUGCAAGUCGAACGGAAAGGCCCUGCUUUCGUGGGGUGCUCGAGUGGCGAACGGGUGUGUCACACGUGAGUAACCUGCCCCUGACUUUGGGAUAACUUCGGGACACUGGGGAUAAUACCGGAUAGGAGCUCCUGCUGCAUGGUGGGGGUUGGAAAGUUUCGGCGGUUGGGGGCGGACUCGCGGCUUGUCGGCUGGUUGGUGGGGUAGUGGCUUACCAAGGGUUUGACGGGUAGCCGGCCUGGGGGGGUGACCGGCAACAUUGGGACUGGGAUACGGCCCGGACUCCUACGGGAGGCAGCGGUGGGAAAUAUUGCACAAUGGGGGGAAGCCUGAUGAAGGAAGGCGGCUUGCGGGAUAACGGCCUUCGGGUGGUAACCCGCUUUCGCAGGGAAGGAAGCGUGUGUGACGGUAAUGAGUAAAGAAGCACCGGCUAACUACGUG